rnacentral:tRNA from 1 species
GUCGAGAUGACAACUUAAUUACGGGACAGUACACUAGUUUGAUCUUGACCUCACUUGAGGUGGGACUGAAAAUCCCCGUGUCCGCAGUUCAAUUCUGCGUCUCGGCACCA